rnacentral:rRNA from 1 species
UACGGGGGGGGCAAGCGUUGUUCGGAAUUACUGGGCGUAAAGGGCCCGUAGGCGGCCAACUAAGUCAGACGUGAAAUCCCUCGGCUUAACCGGGGAAUGGCGUCUGAUACUGGAUGGCUCGAGUUUGGGAGAGGGAUGCGGAAUUCCAGGUGUAGCGGUGAAAUGCGUAGAUAUCAGGAGGAACACCGGUGGCGAAGGCGGAUCUCUGGGCCUGUCCUGACGCUCAGGCGCGAAAGCUAGGGGAGCAAACAGG